rnacentral:rRNA from 1 species
ACGGGUACGGGGUGUUAGGGCACGACACCGGAGAGGGAGCCUGAGAAACGGCUACCACAUCCAAGGAUGGCAGCAGGCGCGCAAAUUACCCAAUCCCGACACGGGGAGGUAGUGACAAUAAAUAACAAUACGGGGUUCUUUAGGAUCUCGUAAUUGGAAUGAGUACAAUUUAAAUCUCUUAACGAGGAACAAUUGGAGGGCAAGUCUGGUGCCAGCAGCCGCGGUAAUUCCAGCUCCAAUAGCGUAUAUUAAAGUUGUUGCAGUUAAAAAGCUCGUAGUUGAAUUUCGGGGUUAGUAGGUUGGUCAUGCCUCUGGUAUGUACUGGUCUCACUGAUUCCUCCUUCCUGAUGAACCUUAAUGCCAUUAAUUUGGUGUUUUGGGGAAUUUGGACUGUUACUUUGAAAAAAUUAGAGUGUUUAAGGCAAGCUAACGCUUGAAUACAUUAGCAUGGAAUAAUGAAAUAGGACGUUCGAUCCUAUUUUGUUGGUUUCUAGGAUUGACGUAAUGAUUAAUAGGGAUAGUUGGGGGCAUUAGUAUUCAAUUGUCAGAGGUGAAAUUCUUGGAUUUAUUGAAGACCAACUACUGCGAAAGCAUUUGCCAAGGAUGUUUUCAUUAAUCRAGAACGAAAGUUAGGGGAUCGAAGACGAUCAGAUACCGUCGUAGUCUUAACCAUAAACUAUGCCGACUAGGGAUCGGAUGAUGUUAAUUUUUUAAUGACUCAUUCGGCGCCUUAC